AGUGAACGCUGGCGGUAGGCCUAACACAUGCAAGUCGAACGGCAGCACAGUAAGAGCUUGCUCUUACGGGUGGCGAGUGGCGGACGGGUGAGGAAUACAUCGGAAUCUACUUUUUCGUGGGGGAUAACGUAGGGAAACUUACGCUAAUACCGCAUACGACCUACGGGUGAAAGCAGGGGAUCUUCGGACCUUGCGCGACUGAAUGAGCCGAUGUCGGAUUAGCUAGUUGGCGGGGUAAAGGCCCAUCAAGGCGACGAUCCGUAGCUGGUCUGAGAGGAUGAUCAGCCACACUGGAACUGAGACACGGUCCAGACUCCUACGGGAGGCAGCAGUGGGGAAUAUUGGACAAUGGGCGCAAGCCUGAUCCAGCCAUACCGCGUGGGUGAAGAAGGCCUUCGGGUUGUAAAGCCCUUUUGUUGGGAAAGAAAAGCAGCAGGUUAAUACCCCGCUGUUCUGACGGUACCCAAAGAAUAAGCACCGGCUAACUUCGUG
rnacentral:rRNA from 1 species